rnacentral:lncRNA from 1 species
AUGAAUUGCAAGUUCAUCUAUAAGCAUGAUUCUUUUUUUCCUUUACCCUUGCAAAUUCUUCCCCGGUCUCCUUGUUUGCAGGUAAAUAAUGACGAUGUUGGUAUCCUAAAUGGAGAAGUCUCUGAGUGUGAGGGAUUCAGCAAAGCAUUGAGGAAACGCAAACAUUCUUCCACAGGUGACAGCAUCUCAGCAACGAGACAGAGCGCUGCCUACAGAUGUAGUCGUAAACACAGUAACUGGGAGCAUCAUGACGGCCACAACAAAAAUGAUCAUAAACAUACAAUAUAUGGCCACGCGUUCUCCAGUGAGGAUGAAGGGGAGGUUACAGAGGUAACCAGCCCUGCUCACACCUCCAUGGAUCAUUCUGCUGCCACGACGAGAGAGACCUGCAACCCUUUAACAGGCAGGUUUAAAGAUGCGUUCAAGGCACAUGAGAUAAAUGAGACAAAAAAAGAAAUACUAGUAUUGUAACUUUGUAACUAGAAUGGUGUUGACAAUGGUCUGUUUCUCACUGUCUUUCUGUAUGUUGACCAGAUGCAGUCUCAGGAGUAUCCAACAUCUUUUCAUUCUGGGGCUCAGAGAGUCGAGAGAAGCAGAGAUAUAAGGAGGUGCCCUGCUCCCACAGCCUCCUUGACCCUCUUCCUCAGUCUGCCUCCCAGCAGCUCCCAGAAGUUCCCUUGGCUUCCCACUGUCCCUCUAGCCCUCCUAAUCUCCAUCCUCCUCCACCUGUUUUGUCUUGGAGGCAGAAGGAUGCAUUAGAGAAAAGGCUGGAGGUACUGCAGGGACAUAUUACCAGGUGGGUGAGAACCUUUUAUCAGGGUCUUAAUCAGUAGUGGUGAUGACUUUACAUAAAUGUUGGAUUUUAAUUAAAAUACCACAAUACCAAAAAAAAUGGUUGCUUAAGUCAAACCUCCAGUUGAAUAUUUCAGCUUAACUGUGUAGAGUUUGGACUCCCUAAAUACAUGGGGGCGGUGCCUUAUGUCCUUCAUUGUGGGUGUGAUGACACACCCAAUGUGGGCUUUUUGGGGAGAGUUUCUCUUUAAUUGGAGAUAGUGGGCAAUUGCUUAAUGGGGAGCUGGGGUCUUUAUCAGGUUUUAGAAGAAAAGUGAGUGUAGCUGUGCUCAUGUCUGUGGGAACUGUUUUAAUUUAAUUUUAGCUGUUAGUCUAUUGGAAAGGGGAUGUUGAGUUCCAAGUGUUUGUAGGACUCAGCAAGGAAGAUUAUUUGCAGGGAAUUCUCAAAUGCAUUUGCUUGGUCUUCAGUGACUUAUAGUAAAUCUACACUGGUUAAGGAUGUAUCAACUUCUUCAUAGUUUGGGUUCUGUGAUGAUGAAUGCAGGUUAGUAUCAAAUCUUAGUAUCAAGAUUUUCUCUCCUAAUGUUAUAAUCAUUCAAUUUGUUGAUUUUCCUUAGUUGCGCUUGAUUUACUUAGCCAGGUAUUUUCAGAUCACAGACUUUCUGUGUGAAUAAAGAAAGACUUCUCCCUCCUGUGUUCAGUCCUCUGCUUCUCAGAAAUUACCACGGC